rnacentral:rRNA from 1 species
AUUGAACGCUGGCGGCAGGCUUAACACAUGCAAGUCGAGCGGGGUGAUGGUGCUUGCACUAUCACUUAGCGGCGGACGGGUGAGUAAUGCUUAGGAAUCUGCCUAUUAGUGGGGGACAACAUCUCGAAAGGGAUGCUAAUACCGCAUACGUCCUACGGGAGAAAGCAGGGGAUCACUUGUGACCUUGCGCUAAUAGAUGAGCCUAAGUCGGAUUAGCUAGUUGGUGGGGUAAAGGCCUACCAAGGCGACGAUCUGUAGCGGGUCUGAGAGGAUGAUCCGCCACACUGGGACAGAUACACUGCCCAGACUCCUACGGGAGGCAGCAGUGGGGAAUAUUGGACAAUGGGGGGAACCAUGAUCCAGCCAUGCCGCGUGUGUGAAGAAGGCCUUAUGGUUGUAAAGCACUUUAAGCGAGGAGGAGGCUCUUUUGGUUAAUACCCAAGAUGAGUGGACGUUACUCGCAGAAUAAGCACCGGCUAACUCUGUGCCAGCCGCCGCCGUAA